rnacentral:rRNA from 1 species
CCUCGGGAGGCAGCAGUGGGGAAUUUUCCGCAAUGGGCGCAAGCCUGACGGAGCAACGCCGCGGUGAGGGAUGAAGGCCUCUGGGCUGUAAACCUCUUUUAUCAAGGAAGAAGAUCUGACGGUACUUGAUGAAUAAGCCACGGCUAAUUCCGUGCCAGCAGCCGCGGUAAUACGGGAGUGGCAAGCGUUAUCCGGAAUUAUUGGGCGUAAAGCGUCCGCAGGCGGCCCUUCAAGUCUGCUGUUAAAAAGUGGAGCUUAACUCCAUCAUGGCAGUGGAAACUGUUGGGCUUGAGUGUGGUAGGGGCAGAGGGAAUUCCCGGUGUAGCGGUGAAAUGCGUAGAUAUCGGGAAGAACACCAGUGGCGAAGGCGCUCUGCUGGGCCAUCACUGACGCUCAUGGACGAAAGCCAGGGGAGCGAGAGGGAUUAGAUACCCCUGUAGUCCUGGCCGUAAACGAUGAACACUAGGUGUCGGGGGAAUCGACCCCCUCGGUGUCGUAGCCAACGCGUUAAGUGUUCCGCCUGGGGAGUACGCACGCAAGUGUGAAACUCAAAGGAAUUGACGG